GGAAUCCCCAAUAUGGCAGUAUUGAGAGGUGGAUACUUUAUGAGGUGACUGUGUCAGGAAGCCUCUGAUAUUAUGACUGUAUUAAUCCAUUCAUGGGUUAAUGGAUUAAUGCAUUAAUUAGUGGGUUAUCAUGGGAGUGGAACUGGUGGUUUUAUAAGAAGAGGAAGAGAGACCUGAACUUGCACACUCAGCCCUCUCACCAUGUGAUGCCCCGUGCCACCUUGGGACUUUGUAGAGAGUCCUCACCAACAAGAAGGCUCUUGCCAGAUGUGACCCUCCACCUUGGACUUCUUAGCUUCCAGAACUCAAAAAGGAAAAACAAAUGGAAAAAGAACCAGCCAUUGUAUCUGAUGCUGCUUCAAACAUUUCAUCACAGAAGUACAUUGAUAGUUUAAAAAAUAGCUACGCGGGAAGAGAACAUCAGAUGAUGAGAAUAAAAUUUGCAUAAGGCAUCCUACUCCUGGGAGCUGAAAGAAAAGGAGUGAGAAGCUACAUUCCCCCAAGCCCAGAGCAGAAUCUCAGUGUAUUCAUUUCCUGCCCAGCCUCCCUUUGGGGAGAGGAGAGCCUUUUGUUCCUCUGCUGGUGAGGACAGAGUUAACAUGACCCAGAAGAGACACAAUGAAGUCUUUCCCCUCUUCUUAUUCUGGCAUGCCUACUCUUCACUUCAAUGUCUAUUUGCACAAUCAUAAAUUCUGAACUCAGGAGGAUAAUCCCAGCCAAAGUCUACAUGUGCCGGAUACCAUAAUGUAAACUGCAUAUGUUGCAAGAAGCUGUUAAAUGGAACCAGUGAAUGAAAUCAUGGCCAGCUCAAUAUUUGGGUCUCUGGAUUUCCUCUCCUCUGUAAACCAAGGCCUCUCCUCUCAAUUCUAACUUUCUGACAUGCCUAUAAACAAAGGUAUUUUUGGCUACCAGAUCCCCUUGAGAUAUUCAGGAAUAGCCUCAAUUCCAGAGCUGUUCAGGCUUUGCUCAAGGGUACCAAGGGCCAGCCCUGCAGCUCUUUUCCCUCCGUAUAGUCAGCAGACAAUGAUGUGCACAGAGUACCCAAAAAAGCUUCACUUCUAUUCUUCAUGGGCCCAUCCCCACUGUCUUCCACUGGAAAGUUGACCCAGCAGACUGGUUCAGCAGGGAUGAAUCCAGUCCACAAAAUUAGGUUAGUAGUAGUUUGAGCUUCCAUCCAGCUAGGGAGAUAGAAACUUAUUUGAGCCAUUUUAGCUCUCCUGCCUCCCACCUCCCUGGGGUGGCACCCAAGUUUGAGGUGAUUAAGGGUUUUAUUUCAUUUCUGUUGCUAUAAAGGAAUACUGGAGGCUGGACAAUUUAUAAAGAAAAGAGGUUUAUUUGGCUCACGGUUCUGCAGGCUGUAUGAGAAGCAUGGCACCAGCAUUUGCUUCUGGUGUGGGACUCAGGCUGUUUCCACUCAUGGCAGAAGGGGAAGGGGAGCUGGCAUGUGCAGAGAUCACAUGACAGGAAAGGAAACCAGAAAGAGUGGGUGGAGAGGUGCUAGGCUCUUUUUAAAACCAGCUCUUGAGGGAACUAAUAGAGUGAGAACUGACACGUUAUCUUGAGGAUGGCACCAAGACAUUCAUGAGGGCUCUGCCCCCAUGACCUAAACACCUCCUAUUAGGCCCCACCUCCAACAUUGCAGAUCACAUUUCAACAGGAGGUUUGGGGAAAUCAAAUAUACAAACUAUAGCAUUAAGCAAUGCCCAGGUGUGAGAGGCAGACUUCUGGCCCUUGAUGUCCUCUGCACAGAACAUCAUCCACUGAAGCACACAUCUCCCUCCCUGGUCCCUGGCUAUUGGUCUAUGCAAGGUUAUGCUAAGGCAUCUGUUCAUCUUCAUAUGGCCCCUUCUGCUCCAGCCCCAUUCUCUUAACUUUAUUUAAGCUAUGAUGUUUGGGGUUCCUUCUGCUAUUUUCAAGCCCUUCUUCUGGGUUCUAAGAAUUUCUGUAAAAAUCACCUUUCUGAACUUGUCUUGUUUCCUCAGGCCUCUGCCUAGGAAGCAGGGCCCAGGCACUCUGUGAUCUGCUAGCUUCUAUAUUCUUGUUACUUCCCCCUGAGAGCCCAGAAUCCAACUCUGAAGCUAUUGCGAAACGCCACUCUGUAGUUCAGUAAGAAUUUCACUCAAAGAAGGAAAGAUUACACUACCGGAGGCUAAAGGUAAACCUCUCAUAGAGCUAGGAGUCCAUGAUUCUAUAAUUCACUGUCCUCAGGAAUCAUAUUUCCUCCCACUUUCUCUUUUGCAACACAUGGUCUAAAACUGAUUCAUUGGUAUAUUUUUACAUAUAUAUUUAUAACAUAUAUGCACAUACAAAACAUAUAUAACUAUAUAUAUACAUAUAUAUAUCUCUCUCUCUAUAUAUAUAUAGAUGUGAAUCUCUUCAGGCAGAAAGAACUGAGAUAUGUCUAAUGCUCUGGGUACAGGAUUUGAAUUUUCAUUAUUUAGGGACAGGCAACCUUGAAAACUUGCACCCAUUGGACAUUCCACAUAAAAAGGAUAAAAUGGAAAUAUAAUCAUAAUGAUAAUUUUAAAUAUUUCAUUCAAUAUGAAAUAUAGAUCUUCAUGUAUGAAUAUUUUAUCUGAGAAAUGGGUAAUCUCAGGUCAGGCAGCCAGUACACAUGCACAUACAUUCAGGGAGAGGGAAGUAGAAAGACUUCUGGGUUCUCAAUAUGGGGGCUCCAUAGGAACAAAUACCAGAGUGAAAUUCUGUAGUGUGAGAAAACUCACAAAGCUCCUCUAGGGCUUCUCCAUGCACAUUUAGCCCCGCCCUAACACCAACAGCCCAGAGCUCAUAUACAAGCUAUAUCUAUAUGUCCCAUUAGCACAGUAGCAUAAAAAUUUAAAAUCACCAUCAUCCUCUCUCCUCUCAGCACUGCCCACUCAGUUCAUUCUCCUUUGGUCAAGUGAUUAAGUGGUUAUAAGAUUAAGAUCUCAGUAUAACAGGGAUAGGAGAAUUAAAGAAAGACAAAUUCAUUGCAAAAAUAAAAUAAAAUUUUACAUAUAGAGAGAGAGAGAACAGAAAAAUAUAAAAAGAAAAUUCAUUUAUCAUCUCACAACUCAGAAAUCCAGAAAUAUCUACUCCUAAUAUUAUAAAGUGUGUUCUUCCAGUUGUGUGUGUGUGCAUUUAUUCAUUUUCAAAUAUACUUAACAAGAUUGGAAUAAAACAGUUUGGCCUUUUAUGCUUUGCAUACUUAGCAUUUUGUCACAUGUACUUUACACAAGAAAUGAAUUUUAAUGUAUACUUGGCAUAUUGCACCUUUAUGAAAAAUUUUAAACAUUCAGGUUAUUCGCAAUGUUUGACUAUUAUAAAUAGUACUAUAAUAAUACUCUAAUGAUCAUCUUUGUGCACAGAUUUAAUAGCCUUCAUGUGAGAAAUAUCUAAACAAAAAAGAUUAAAUUAUUUUAAGUAGUUUGAUAUAUGUUGCCAAAUUACCCUCUAAAAACAAUUUAUCAAUAUUCUAUCAUCCAGCCCCCUUACGAACAUGGGUUUUAUUGUCUUUGACCUUUAAAUAAAUUAAAAUAAAUAUAUCUAUAUAUUUGCAUAUAUCUAAAUUUUUUUUAUAGAUAUCUUUAGGCAGAGUUAACUGAGAUAUGGCUAAUGCUCUGAGCGUAGGGUUUUCAUUUCAUUGUUUAGAGACAGGCAACCUUGAAAUGUUUCACCCAUUGAACAUUUUACAAAAAAAAGGAAAAUAUAAUCAUAAUGAUAGUUUUAAAUAUUUCAUUCAGUAUGAAAUAUAGAUCUUAAUGUAUUAACAUUUUAUCAAUAGGUUUAAAUUUAUUUGAUUAUUAGUUAUGUGUAGUAGGCUAUACAUACCUCCAAAAGUAUCAGGUCUUAAUCCCUGAAAUACGCAAAUGUUACCUUAUUUGAAAAAUUGAUUUUUGCAGAUGUGAUUAAAUUAAGGAUCUUGAGAUUAGGGAUUAUCCUGGAUUAUCUGGCUGGGUCUGACAUGCAAUCACAAAUAUUCUUAAAAGAGAAAGGAAGCAGAAAAUUAGACACACUGAAUAGAAAGCAGAGAUUGAAGUGAUAUGAACACAAGCCGGAAUGCCUGUGGUCACUAGAAGCUGCAAAAGGGAUUUUUCUCUAGAUCCUGCAGGGGAAGCAUGGCCUUGCUGUUGACCCAGUGAAACUACUUUCAAACUUCUGAACUAUAGAACUAUAAGAAAAUAUGGGCUUUGUUGUUUUAAGCUACCAAGUUUGUGAAAUUUGUUACAGCAUCUAUAGCAAACUAGUACAGGUUUAACUUAUCUUCACAUAUGUAUUGACUACUGUAUUUCUUCCUGUGUUUAAAAUGUCUAUUCAUUACAUUUCUUGCUCAUUUUUCUAUUAUGAAAUUUGUUUUUUCUUCUUGAUUUUUCAAAUAUAUUGAUAGCUUUGUAUUUAUACAUUUAUAGCUCUAUCUUGGUGGUGCAAAUAAUCCCCAAAUACACA
rnacentral:lncRNA from 1 species